rnacentral:rRNA from 1 species
GACGUAGGGGGCAAGCGUUAUUCGGAAUUAUUGGGCGUAAAGAGCUCGUAGGCGGUCUGUCACGUCGGCUGUGAAAUCCCGAGGCUCAACCUCGGGUCUGCAGUCGAUACGGGCAAACUAGAGUAUUGCAGGGGAGACUGGAAUUCCUGGUGUAGCGGUGAAAUGCGCAGAUAUCAGGAGGAACACCGGUGGCGAAGGCGGGUCUCUGGGCAAUAACUGACGCUGAGGAGCGAAAGCGUGGGGAGCGAACAGG